AACUAGACACGCGAUCUCAUGGAUCGUGGACGCGUUCUUCUUAGAGGGACCCUCGGUAUCUAGCCGGAGGAAGUUUGAGGCAAUAACAGGUCUGUGAUGCCCUUAGAUGUCCUGGGCUGCACGCGCGCUACACUGACGGGGGCAUCGAGUUCUCAAAGUUGUCCUUCCUCGACAGAGGUGGGUAAUCUUGUGAAACCCCGUCGUGAUGGGGAUAGAUCAUUGCAAUUAUUGGUCUUCAACGAGGAAUUCCUAGUAGGCGCAUUUCAUCAGAAUGCGCCGACUACGUCCCUGCCCUUUGUACACACCGCCCGUCGCU
rnacentral:rRNA from 1 species